rnacentral:rRNA from 1 species
ACGGAAGGCAGCAGUGGGGAAUAUUGCACAAUGGGCGCAAGCCUGAUGCAGCGACGCCGCGUGAGUGAAGAAGUAUUUCGGUAUGUAAAGCUCUAUCAGCAGGGAAGAAAAAUGACGGUACCUGACUAAGAAGCACCGGCUAAAUACGUGCCAGCAGCCGCGGUAAUACGUAUGGAGCAAGCGUUAUCCGGAUUUACUGGGUGUAAAGGGUGUGUAGGCGGCGAAGUAAGUCAGAAGUGAAAGACCGGGGCUCAACUCCGGGGCUGCUUUUGAAACUGCAUUGCUGGAGUCCAGGAGAGGCAGGCGGAAUUCCUAGUGUAGCGGUGAAAUGCGUAGAUAUUAGGAAGAACACCGGUGGCGAAGGCGGCCUGCUGGACUGGUACUGACGCUGAGGCACGAAAGCGUGGGGAGCAAACAGGAUUAGAUACCCUGGUA